rnacentral:rRNA from 1 species
UACGUAGGGGGCAAGCGUUAAUCGGAAUUACUGGGCGUAAAGUGUGCGCAGGUGGCCGAGCAAGUCGAGUGUGAAAUCCCCGAGCUUAACUUGGGAAUUGCGCUCGAAACUACUUGGCUCGAGUGUGGCAGAGGAAGGUGGAAUUCCACGUGUAGCGGUGAAAUGCAUAGAGAUGUGGAGGAACACCGAUGGCGAAGGCAGGCCUCCUGGGCCAACACUGACGCUCAUGCACGAAAGCGUGGGGAGCAAACAGG